GGCUCGAGAUGAGAUUCGUCAAC
rnacentral:siRNA from 1 species